rnacentral:sRNA from 1 species
UAUUUUUCAUUUUUUUUUGCCUUU